rnacentral:misc_RNA from 1 species
GAUGAAGAACGUAGCGAAAUGCGAUACGUAGUGUGAAUUGCAGAAUUCAGUGAAUCAUCGAAUCUUUGAACGCACAUUGCGCCCGCCAGCACUCUGGCGGGCAUGCCUGUCCGAGCGUCAUUUACCACCCUCGGGCCCCCUUGGGGGCCCGGUGCUGGGGGCACGGCCCAGGCCGCCCCCGAAAUGCAGUGGCGACCCCGGCGCGUCCUCCCCUGCGCAGUAGCACAAUCUCGCACCGGAAGCGCGGAGGCGGUCACGCCUGGAAACGCCCCAACUCAACGCAGUUGACCUCGGAUCAGGUAGGAGUACCCGCUGAACUUAAGCAUAUCAAUAAGCGGAGGA